rnacentral:rRNA from 1 species
GGGCAAUCUGCCCUUCACUCUGGGACAAGCCCUGGAAACGGGGUCUAAUACCGGAUAACACUCUGUCCCGCAUGGGACGGGGUUAAAAGCUCCGGCGGUGAAGGAUGAGCCCGCGGCCUAUCAGCUUGUUGGUGGGGUAAUGGCCUACCAAGGCGACGACGGGUAGCCGGCCUGAGAGGGCGACCGGCCACACUGGGACUGAGACACGGCCCAGACUCCUACGGGAGGCAGCAGUGGGGAAUAUUGCACAAUGGGCGAAAGCCUGAUGCAGCGACGCCGCGUGAGGGAUGACGGCCUUCGGGUUGUAAACCUCUUUCAGCAGGGAAGAAGCGAAAGUGACGGUACCUGCAGAAGAAGCGCCGGCUAACUACGUGCCAGCAGCCGCGGUAAUACGUAGGGCGCAAGCGUUGUCCGGAAUUAUUGGGCGUAAAGAGCUCGUAGGCGGCUUGUCACGUCGGAUGUGAAAGCCCGGGGCUUAACCCCGGGUCUGCAUUCGAUACGGGCUAGCUAGAGUGUGGU